ACAUACGACCAAAGCUCGUAGAAAAUACGGGAUCCCGUCCGCUCUCCCAUAGUCAAGCUGCGAAGCGCUGGAUUAGUAGUUGGGGUCGGUGACGACCAGCGAAUCCCCGGUGUUGUAUGUU
rfam:Fusarium oxysporum f. sp. lycopersici 4287 chromosome 12, whole genome shotgun sequence.